UUUCUCUCUCUACUCCAGUCACACCGCGUCACACUGAGUCAACUGAAAAUGGACUCAGUUUUUCUAGUUGAAGUGCCUAUUCCAUCCCUGUUCGGUGUUGUCACCACCGCUCUCCGCCACUGUUACGGCCACCGCAUACCUUCUCUCAUGCUAAUUUUCUGUACUUCCUCCACUCCACUUGAGAUCCUUGGCUCCCACGGUCAACAAAUGGAGUUUAUACCAAUGGUGACUAUGACCGGGAAAGAGGAUUUUGCAUGUCGUGAAUCCAGCUACACAUGUGGAUGCAGUGCCUACUGUGGUGAAAGAUGGAGUUCAACGGAAGAUAUUGAAACUUCUCCCUUCAUAGAAAUCGAGUAGAUCAGUCGAAGUGGACAUUCUCAUAUUGCUAGGUUAUUCUCCAUCAAUCCACAUGUUUGUAGACACUACAACAAAAUGAUCUUGCAGAGAGGAAGAAUAUAAACUGCACGCUGACAAAGGUUUAUCACUUGAGAGAUGUAGUCCUAACUGCUUAUUUUCCAAUAAUUACAAUGUUCUCUUUUUCGAAAACUAGGCAUGAAGCACUUGAUCAUCGUUUGUCAUCGUUUGUUUCAUCGAAAAAGAGGACAUUGUAAUUACUGGAAGAAAGAGGACCAUAGUCCUAACUGCUUCAUGUUCUCAAAACUAGGCAUGAAGCACUUGAUCAUCUUUUGGAUGGGGUCAAACCAUAAUUGAUGAAAUGCAAGUUCUUGCUAACAAUAACACACGAGAGUUUGUUCCUCUUCCUGGGGAAGAAAAAUGUUGGUUAUAGAUGGGUCUAAUGGUGAAAUUGGUCACCUUAAAGCUCAGUUGGUAGCCAAAGGAUAUACUCAUUUAUGGUAUUGACUAUGGUCAAGAUCAGUAUAAUUCCACUCUUCCUCGCUAUGCUGCUAUUUGCCAUUGCCCAUUUACCAACUUGACAUUUUAAAUGUUAUCCUUUAUGAUGUUAAGGAGGAACUAGGUCUGUUACUUAGGGAGAGUAUAAUUUAGUUUGUAAAUUGUGUUAAUCUCCUUGAACUAAAGCAAUUACUAUGAGUUUCGUUUGGUAAUUUUUGUCAUACUAAACAUUUUUUUUGGAUUCAGAUGAAGCGAGACAAAUCAUUCAGUUUUCUAUUAUAUUUUCUUUGUGAAGUGUGUUUAUCUAAUGAUCUAUGUUGAUGAUAUAGUUAUUAUAAAAAAUAAUAACACUUGAAUUUCUCAACUCAAAGAGUAUUUAUUUCAUCAUUUUAGACUUAAGACUUUGGCUAGCUAAAAUUCUUUCUUGGCAUUGGAAUGACUUGAUCAAAGAAAUAUAUUGUAGUUUCACAAAGAAAAUAUGUUCUUGAUAUCAUGGAGGAGACAUGGCUGGUAAAUUUUGAGCCCAUUGAUAGUCCGAUGAACCCAAAUCAAAGGCUAAUGGUUGACCAAGGUAAAAUCUUUUCACAUCCAUAGAGAUAUAGGAGGCUAGUGCGAAAAUUCAUUUAUCUCACUACUAUAACACUUGAUAUUUUUUAUAUAGUUGGAAUUGUUAGUCAAUUCAUGCAUAAUCCUCACAUUGACCACUGUAAUGUUGUGGCUCGUACUUUCAGGUAUGUCCAAAAGGCUUUAGGACAAGGGUUGUUAUAUGAGGGCAAGGAAUAUAUUCAAAUUUUUGGAUAUUGUGAUGCAGAUGGAGUUGGUUGACCCAUCGACAGAGAUCCUCCUAAGGAUAUUGUUUAUUUAUUCAAGGGAAUUUCAUCCCUUGGAAUAAGAAAUAAAUUGUUCUCCAAUCUAGUGUAGAAGCUAAAUAUAGAUCUGAGUUUGAUCACUUGUGAACUUGAGUGGAUUAAGUAACUUCAAGAGUUCAAAUUUUGUGAAGUUAAGCAGAUGAAUUUGUUAUGUGAUAAUUAGGUAACCCUUCAUAUUUCCUCCAAUUCACUCUUUAAUGAAAGAAUCAAAUAUAUAAAGAUCAAUUGUCAUUUUAUCAAGAAGAAACUACAUCGAAGGAAAUUAGUACUGGAUUUAUUAGCUCUAAUGGCUUGCAGACAUUGUAAUCAAGCCUUUGAGGGAGUCUAGAAUUCAAUUUAUUGGUUUCAAACUUGGUAUAUACAAUUAUAUGCUUAAGCUGGAGGGAAGUGUUAAAAUAGUUCAUUAUUAUGUUGUAAAACUUUUAGGAAGCUGCUUUUUGGGUGUACCUAGGCUAGGGGGUUGUGAAUCAGGUUGUAGGUAUUACUUAUUCUACACUCUUUUCAACUUUUCAGAUAUGGAAAAAAUACAUCAGCUGAGAAAUAAACUCACUGAUUUUACUCAUACCAUUCCUGCUUUAGUUCAUAUCAUAUUUAUGGACUUUGAUGUUAGUCCAUGCUGGUAAACAAGAGUAUUUGUUGGGACAUUUUAGGACUUCAAUUACUGAAGUUAAAUUUUUAGAACAGAUACUUUCUUACCAAGACCUAGAAGUUAAUGUAUAACAUUCGAAGCAAUUUCAAAUACAAAACAUGGAAAUUGCCAAUUCUAUCCCAUUCACUCCAAAAGUAAAUGAAUUAUCUGACAAAGUUUAUGCAACUGGCUACAUUCCAUGUUGUUCACAUAAUCAGGGUGAGACCCCUGAAAAAUAUUUAGCUAAAAUUCCUUAUACAAGUGAAAGAAAAGUUUGUGUAAGGAGAAAGAGUGGACACCUCUGUUUGUGCAUGUAUGUGUGACUUAUCUGUUUAUUAAGUUUUGAAGAUACAUUUAUUGUUCUACUUUUUUUCCCACACCCAUUUGUUUUUUUCCUUUACUGUUAGCCUACCUCUGAGAUGAGUUUGGAAUUCUAAAUAAAACUGAUGUUAGCUUGUUGAAGUAAUUACUGAGUAUGGAACAUGUCUAAUAAUUUCCCUUGUGAAACACUGUAAAUUAAUAAAGUCCCCAUCUUUCAUUGAUGAUCACAGCUGCACUAAACUGGAUAUGGAAAUCAUUAACUCCAAGUCUUGCAGACUUUGAACGAGGUUCAGAACCUUCUGAACAAGACCAACGGGGAAUUGAUUAUUGGCGGAAUUAAUGAGCAGCACACGUAUGGUUGUUCAGGAGACCUCCAAUCUGAAAAGGUCAUUGCUGCAAACAAAUUUUGGACGACUACAAGUACUGGUACCUGAUUUAUUUGAGUUGAAGGUUGGGAUCACCACAAUAGGAAGUGUAGUAAGGACAAUUCAAAUAAAACGUUCAAGCCAAAAAUGAAAGAAUGAGAAUGAACGGAGGUCCACAGUAGAUAGUUAAUUCUUGCAUGAGCAGUGCCUACAUAUGCAACCAGUAAAAAACUCAAUAGUAUUUAAAUAAUUGAGACCACAUUGAGUAGUAGUAUAGAGUUAUUGUCUAAAAUUAUGAGCACAUAUUGAUUUAGUUCUGAUAUUACAAAAAAAUUCAUUUGAGUAAAAAAAAUAAAGACUAAAAUGAUUGUCA